CAGUCGCCGCGGUAAAACGGAGGAUCCAAGCGUUAUCCGGAAUCAUUGGGUUUAAAGGGUCCGUAGGCGGUCUUGUAAGUCAGUGGUGAAAGCCCAUCGCUCAACGGUGGAACGGCCAUUGAUACUGCAGGACUUGAAUUAUUGGGAAGUAACUAGAAUAUGUAGUGUAGCGGUGAAAUGCUUAGAGAUUACAUGGAAUACCAAUUGCGAAGGCAGGUUACUACCAAUUGAUUGACGCUGAUGGACGAAAGCGUGGGUAGCGAACAGGAUUAGAGACCCCAGUAGUCCCUGUCUCUUAUAC
rnacentral:rRNA from 1 species